AAUUUGAUGCUUCAACAGCAGAAUAAUAACAGCGGUUUUAAAACCGCUGCUAUAGCGGAUAUAAACAUCAGUUUUUACCGCUGCCAAAUUUUCAUCAAAUCACGGGCAUAGCGGUUUUAAAACAACAAUUUUAACCUAGCUUUCCUUCGCCUCCUCACGCACGCAAGCAAACCAAAGACCCCCACUGCCGUAGCCGAACUCGUCGCCAUACCCAGCCCUAGCCGAACCCUUUGCUUCCUCCUCCUUCGCACGCCAUAUGAAGAGCCGAAGCCCUCCCGUUGCCCCUCUGUUUUUAGCGACUCGAGCCCGACGAAACUAUUUGAAUCGGCCUCCUCUCUCAAACAGGUAACCAGUUCCUUCUUUCUUCUCCUUCCCUCUUUCCCUCUUUCUUUCGUUUUUUUCUUCUUCUUCUUCUUCUUUUUUUUUUUUUUUGAUUUUCCGUUGGGAUAUUUGCCAAUGCUUCAGGUUUGUGUCUUUUUCUUGUUCAUUUUCUUUGGUUCUUUCUUUGCAAUUUGUUGUUGUAAGUUUAUGGUGGUGCUUGCUGCGGAGCAGUUGAAGGAAAGCAACUUCAUUGGCAAACAUCAACUUUAGUGGUGAGAGCAGGUCGGCCUUUCUUCCACGACUCCAGUCUAUAGCGGAAAAAAAAAUCUACCAAAAUCGGGUCAGAAUCCCUUCUCUCUAUCUCUCUCUCAAUCUUUUUUAUUCCCUGCGGAGCAGACAAUGCCUCGUUAUUGUUUUUUGUUGUUUGGAUUACUAGGGCAGCUAUGGAUUAGAUUUUGUUCCUCUUCCUCAUUUAAGCUGCAGUAUUUUUUAAAUGGCAGAACAUGUUCUGAAGAUUGGGCAAUAAAAUCCAGAGGAGUUCCACAGUGUUAUCUGCUGGAUGUGAACUAUUAAGGAACACAGAUUCCAGGAGUGUUAUAUAUUUGCUGGAGCCAAGUGAUGUAAACUCAUGGAUCAGUGUUGCAAUGAGAAUAAGAAGAAUGAAGAAAUAUGUUAUUUCUUUGGUGCUUGAUAAGGUCCAGUAUUCAGGUCUUCUUCUUCUUCUCUAGUGAUGAUUUCAACUAAAGAGAGUAGAAACAAGAACCACUUGAAGCACCAAAAUAUCGUGAUCGUGUAAAGAAUGCAGAGAAGAUCAUAAUUCUGAUUAUGAGCCCUCAGAGUUGGGUUCAUUUCAUGGAGCAGCUCCUCCCGGGACAGUUGAUUUAUGGCCAAUAUCAUUUGUCAAGUUUAAUCCAAAAGUUUAAUGACAAGCUUCACUUUUAGUUUUUCAAAUUCAUUUGCAUCUUUAAAAGUCUUAUCUGGUUAUUCUUAAUCCAGAAGACUAUUGUAUGAAUUCCAAAAUACUUGUUUUGAAUGUGAUUAGUAUAUUCCUUUUAAUUCAUACAAACAAAGCUAAGUUUGACUGA